rnacentral:rRNA from 1 species
GAUGAACGCUGGCGGCGUGCCUAAUACAUGCAAGUCGAGCGAAUGGAUUAAGAGCUUGCUCUUAUGAAGUUAGCGGCGGACGGGUGAGUAACACGUGAGUAACCUGCCCAUAAGACUGGGAUAACUCCGGGAAACCGGGGCUAAUACCGGAUAACAUUUUGAACCGCAUGGUUCGAAAUUGAAAGGCGGCUUCGGCGGUCACUUAUGGAUGGACCCGCGUCGCAUUAGCUAGUUGGUGAGGUAACGGCUCACCAAGGCAACGAUGCGUAGCCGACCUGAGAGGGUGAUCGGCCACACUGGGACUGAGACACGGCCCAGACUCCUACGGGAGGCAGCAGUAGGGAAUCUUCCGCAAUGGACGAAAGUCUGACGGAGCAACGCCGCGUGAGUGAUGAAGGCUUUCGGGUCGUAAAACUCUGUUGUUAGGGAAGAACAAGUGCUAGUUGAAUAAGCUGGCACCUUGACGGUACCUAACCAGAAAGCCACGGCUAACUACGUGCCAGCAGCCGCCGCAG